UACGGAGGGUGCAAGCGUUGUCCGGAAUCACUGGGCGUAAAGGGCGCGUAGGCGGCCCGGUAAGUAGGGGGUGAAAUCCUGCGGCUUAACCGCAGGGCUGCUUUCUAAACUGUCGGGCUCGAGCACGGUAGAGGCAGAUGGAAUUCCCGGUGUAGCGGUGGAAUGCGUAGAGAUCGGGAAGAACAUCAGUGGCGAAGGCGGUCUGCUGGGCCGUUGCUGACGCUGAGGCGCGACAGCGUGGGGAGCAAACAGG
rnacentral:rRNA from 1 species